CUCCCGAAUAAUUGAGAAAACCCGAUCCACUUGCAGAUGUAGUCUACAUGUUAGCUCUCUGUUCGGCACAAAGAUUUAAUGAAAAAAAAAAAGAAAGAAAGAAUAAUCAUCACCACCACUAAGAAUAACAACAACGACAACAGCAGCAGCAACAACAAAUAAUCUCCAAUACGCCUUUUCCAGAAGCCAAAACUUUUUUUAACGGGAGUUAACGGCGCUUGUGAACACUGCAUCACUGCACCACUGCAUCACUGCAUCUGACAGAUAUGGCUGCCCGGUUUGGCUCACUUGCCCAUGACAGCUCUGGCCAAGGUGACGAUGUUCUGGGCCUGCUUUAACGACGGCAUGUCAAUCAUGCUGCCACGGAAGGUGAACGCACCCUAGAGAGAACAAAGCGCAACACCGGAGGAGCCAGCCUGUUGGAUCAACAACCUAAAGAGGAGGCUCAAGGCCCGUGCCUGCGACGCCCAUCCCAGAAAAGGCUGGCAGGGGGUAGUUCCCUCACAUCAACAAAAUAUGCCCCCUUCCCUCUAGUGCCACCUGUUCAGGAGCUGUCUGCUCUGAGCCAGCUAAUCACAGAGCCAGCAAAGGGGGCGUGCCAGGCAUCCUUACCACAAUACUAUUGGCUGGCCGCAUUGCAUCAUUUAUGCCCCCUGAAGCCAGCGAGCCAAUCAUACAGUGCCAUCUGGAGAAGUUUGUCUCAUUGGCGUGUUGUGGUUUAGCACAGAGCCCUCUGUUAGGCAAGGUUCAAAGUACAACAUUUUGGCUGCUUAAUUAUUUUUUUUUCUUUCAGGAGGAUUUGUGAUUAUUUUUUUUUUUUUGCUUAUUAGAUAUAUUUUUUUGCCAGCCUUUCAAUAAAUUAGAUCUGUACCAAAAUGCAAAUAGAUGCAUGCUAACUGUAAUGUUUCACAGACCAUCUCUGUAGGAAGAGAUGAUCAUCAAAACUAGAAUAUACAUUAAUUUUAAUAAAGCUUGCAUUUAGGUGACAACUAUUCUCACUUACAAAUGAAAUAUGGAACUUUCAUAUACACGUCAUAUAGCCAGUCACACAGACUAUAGAAACUACCAUAUCAAGUUAAGAGGAUUUAGAUAAUACAGAUUAAACCAAAUCAAUAAUAGUUCAUACAUUUGUUAAUAUUUUUAAUAAUAAUUACAUUCUUUGUGAAAUAAUUAAAUACUUUAUAUCCAAUUCUAAUAGACUUUUUGUGGUUAUACACGCAUAGACUCAUGGACACUCGUGGAUAAAAAAUCUCCACACCAAGUGGUGAAAGGGUCUCUGUGGAACUCAGUGGUUUGUUGUGUGUGUGUGUGUGUGUGUGUGUGUGUGUGUGUGUGUGUGUGAAAAACACUUCUGGGCAUUAAUCAUAUUCCAACCAACCUGCCGAUAUAGAGACACUCUGAUGAAUUUCAAGAUGUUCCUAUUGCUAUGCUGCAUGAUUAAUUUACCCCUAGUAAUUAGUUAGAUUACUCUCAAACCAAAAUCUGUGUCUGAUUUUAAAUGCAUUUAUGAUUGUGUAUCAAAUUAUGCAAUAUAAAAAUAAAUACCUUUAUUUCAACCAUUAAUGCUUCAAGUUGUUUUGAGGUUUUAAAAGUUCUGAGCAAUAAUAUUUUCUUUUUUCGUAUAAUCAUAUACAUACAUCAGUAAUGAAUAACAGUUGUGUGCUACAUUUACUGGAUAUUUUUUUUUAUUGUGGCAAAGCAAAAUCUGGAAUUGGUGAAAACGGGGGGAAAAAAAAAGAAAAAAAAGAAAAGAAGCGGGAUAAAUAAGAAGCAGGAGAAUGCUGCAAACCAAAAGGCCUAGUGCUCUGGAGGAAUGGCAGUGUUGUUGUAAACAGAGAUGUGCAGGAGGAACAGUGUGUGUUCUGCAAACAGCCAUUACAUAUUCAUUAGCGCAGGCUCUGAGGAGGGCUGCCUGGCCUCCUGUGGCCAGUUACCCACUCACCGGGACUACACACACUCGCGUUGCCUGGCUACAAACCCACACAGUGCUAAGCUGCGAACAUACGGCCAAACUCGAGCUACAUGCAGACAAAUGCGCACACACUCACUUACAUGCAAUAAAGGAUAUGCACAAAUGAGCAGAACACAAGCAUGCACCCACACACAUACAAAAUGCUAUCUAUCUAAAUGAAAAAAAAAAUUAUGCUUUUAUCUCUUCUGGCUUGCAAAUAACAAGCAGUCAGCUGAAUUAUCAAAAAAAUGUCAUUACUAAGUAAAAUUUUUUGUUGAAACAUGAAAAAAGCACAAACAAGCUAAAAUAAUCGACACAAUAAACUGUCAAAUGUUCAAGAAAAAAAAGAAAGAAAGAAAGAACUGAUGUUCAUCUUCAAAGAGGCAUUCUGAAGAAUUCAUAAAGACACUAAUGAGCUGAAGGAGAGAGAAAGAGAUGGACAGAAUGAGACUGAAUAAGAAGAAAUGUUUGAAAGCGUGGGUCAAAGAUGUGAAGCCAUAAAGGAACAAGCAGAUCCAUGAAAAUAGGUGCAGUGUGAGGGAGAGCACCUGUUCAGCCGGCUUGUGCUGCAGUACACUCACUACAUACCCUAUAUUUAAUCUCUUCUACAUGCAUU